UAUAGAUCUCCCGUGCCCUAUAACUCCGUCCCGAUCUCGCCGGAGUUCACCGCCGCCUGAAGCCUUUGCUGGAUGUUUCCGACGCAUCAAGAGACAUGCACCGAAGAAGCCUCCCCGACGACCAUCGGAUUUCACCGAAGCCGCCCGUCGCUCCAGCCAUUUGCUGCCGUCACCACAGGAGGCUCCCGACCCCGCCGAUGACACCAUUGCCAUCACCUCACCGCUCUGGAUCCCGUAGGCCGCCCCAUUCAAGCCGAUGCGCACGCUGUCGUCUUCCCCAUGCCGACCAGCGGAGCCGAAGCCCACCGAGCUCGCCCCACUCGCGUCGAACCUCCCCGAGCUUGAACACCACCACCACCAGAACCGUCUCGCUCCGCCUCAUGUGUCCGUCACCUCCGCCGCCACCCUCAGCCGCUGGAGCACCGCCGGCGACCACGCCCGACGCCCUCGUCGACAUCCACCACCGUUAUUUCAAUGGAGUGAUGAAUAGUUCUGCCAAGUCAUUAUUCUGAGAGCCUUGUUAUCUUCAUCAAGUAUUACCAGGCAAGUUCACUUUGACCAUACUUUUCAUGCCUAUGUUUUUAUUGCAUUUAGUGUCAUCUUUGU